rnacentral:rRNA from 1 species
UACGAAGGGGGCGAGCGUUGUUCGGAAUUACUGGGCGUAAAGGGUGCGUAGGCGGGUCUUUAAGUCAGGGGUGAAAUCCUGGAGCUCAACUCCAGAACUGCCUUUGAUACUGAGGAUCUUGAGUUCGGGAGAGGUGAGUGGAACUGCGAGUGUAGAGGUGAAAUUCGUAGAUAUUGGGAGGAACACCAGUGGCGAAGGCGGCUCACUGGACCGGUUCUGACGCUGAGGCGCGAAAGCGUGGGGAGCAAACGGG